rnacentral:rRNA from 1 species
ACAGCAGCCGCGGUAAUACGGGGGGGGCUAGCGUUGUUCGGAAUUACUGGGCGUAAAGGGCGCGUAGGCGGUCUGCUAAGUUGGAUGUGAAAACUCUGGGCUUAACCCAGAGCCUGCAUUCAAUACUGACAGGCUAGAGUUCUGGAGGGGAUAGCGGAAUUCCUGGUGUAGCGGUGAAAUGCGUAGAUAUCAGGAGGAACACCGGUGGCGAAGGCGGCUAUCUGGACAGAGUCUGACGCUGAGGCGCGAAAGCUAGGGGAGCAAACAGGAUUAGAUACCCUGGUAGUCCUAGCCCUAAACGAUGGAUACUUGGUGUAACUGGGAUUGAAUCCAGUUGUGCCGAAGCUAACGCAUUAAGUAUCCCGCCUGGGGAGUACGGUCGCAAGGCUGAAACUUAAAGGAAUUGGCGGGGGAU